AGAAAUUGCCUUAGUGUGCCAUCUAAUUGCAAUCAGUUCUAUAUCAGUUUGAAUUUUAUUCAGUUCAAAAUUUGUUACCCAUAUUAAAAACUGUAUACCUCUCUACCUUUCCAUAAAUAAUUUAAUUGGUACAUUUUACUCUGCAUGUGUGUACAUUUUCUGUUACCUCCCAUCUGGGUGUAAUUUUCCAUAGUCUCUCCUCAUGAUCUGCAUUUUCUCCUUCAAGUUCCUCCUCUAAACCCACUUCUGUGGAUCUUGCCUUCACAUUAUGCCUUUAAAAGCUCCAGCUGGAAGGAAGUGCCUCUGAAUGGAGUCCAAGGGAAGAAACAAAGAAGAUGGGAACCAGAUGUCAUUUAAGUCAUCCCAGUAGAACAGAACCCUAAUGUUGGUUUGGGGUAACCAUUCCUGCUCCGCUCUUACCCCACAUGAUUUGGAUGAAUCUGAUGGCAACCGCUGCCCGCAGGGAUGGAAUACGGAAUCUAGGCUUAGGCCAAAGUGUGCAAUCUAUGUCCUUGGCCACAAUCACUGGUUUGGAAAUGAGCAAGCCAAGCUCAUCUGCUUAAGUGGCUGGAAUCUAAGAGAAUAUGAAGCUAGAGCUACUGUAGCAGGGUGGCCACCACAUGGAACAAGAGGAUGAAGCUUACAGAUGGAGGAGGGUGAGCUGAAAUUGAGUCCUGCUCAUGUU